UACGUAGGGGGCAAGCGUUGUCCGGAUUAUUGGGCGUAAAGAGCGUGUAGGCGCCUGACAGGUCUGCUGUGAAAACUCGAGGCUCAACCUCGAGAUGUCGGCGGAAACCGUCUGGCUAGAGUCCGGAGAGGAGAGUGGAAUUCCUGGUGUAGCGGUGAAAUGCGCAGAUAUCAGGAAGAACACCUAUGGCGAAGGCAGCUCUCUGGGACGGUACUGACGCGAGACGCGAAGCGUGGGAGCGAACGGAUAGAACCGUGUAGC
rnacentral:rRNA from 1 species